GACAGAGGAUGCAAGCGUUAUCCGGAAUGAUUGGGCGUAAAGCGUCUGUAGGUGGCUUUUUAAGUCUGCCGUCAAAUCCCAGGGCUCAACCCUGGAAUGCCGGUGGAAACUGUCGGGCUGGAGUCCGGAAGAGGCGAGUGGAAUUCCUGGUGUAGCGGUGAAAUGCGCAGAUAUCAGGAGGAACACCAAUGGCGAAGGCAGCUCGCUGGGACGUGACUGACGCUGAGACGCGAAAGCGUGGGGAGCAAACAGG
rnacentral:rRNA from 1 species